rnacentral:lncRNA from 1 species
GGAGAGACACUGAGCUGGAGCAGCUCUCACACACUGAGGAUCGCCUCCACCUCCUACAGAGACUGUGAGACAACUUCAGAGGAGUCUGAAUGAAGAAUUCACUAAAACUCUUAAAGAGAUCAGACAACCAGACACAGUCGAAGUCUUUACUGCUCCGAUGCACUCCAUUGAAAAAUUGGGUGCUGAGCCGCUUGAGGUGAUGGAGGGGAAAAAAGCAGCAGAGAGGCGGGCUGAAGAUCUGGAGCAGAAAAUCACUGAGCUAAACAGGAGAUACAAUGAGGAUCACCUUCACCUCCUACAGCUUUACACAUCCCUGAACCUCUUACUCACCAGCAACUGCAGUGAUUUCAGUGUUGAACCUCAUUUGAGUGAAGAGACUGUGAGGAAAAAUCUGUCUCAACUUCAGAGUCUGAAUGAAAAACUCACUAAAACUCUUCAAAAAAUCAGACAACCAGUAGACUUAGAAGAACUGAAGAGGAUUUAUCAGCAUAAAGGUACUGUAUGAUUUCUCAUAAUCACACCACAAUGAUAAUGUGUCUUAGUCUGUAAGCUGAUCAGCGAAUGUAUACGUUUGCAAUGUUUGCAUCAAUUUAAAUGAACACUGUUAGCAUGAUCCACACCGGGUCCAUUAUCCCAGCUAACAUAGAACAUUAUGAGAAUGUUUAGCAACAAAAUAAAAAAAACGUUUAUUCUGUAAUGUUACA